AGUGAACGCUAGUGGCGUGCUUAACACAUGCAAGUCGAACGGACGAUAUUUGUGCUUGCACAAAUAAAGUUAGUGGCAAACGGGUGAGUAAUACAUGAGAAUUUUCCUUGCAGUACGGAAUAACUAUUGGAAACAGUAGCUAAUACCGUAUAUUGCCGAGAGGUGAAAGAUUUAUCGCUGCAAGAUAAGCCCGCGUCAGAUUAGCUUGUUGGUGAGGUAAUGGCUCACCAAGGCGACGAUCUGUAGCUGGUCUGAGAGGAUGAUCAGCCACACUGGGACUGAGACACGGCCCAGACUCCUACGGGAGGCAGCAGUGGGGAAUAUUGGACAAUGGGCGCAAGCCUGAUCCAGCCAUGCCGCGUGGGUGAAGAAGGCCCUAGGGUUGUAAACCCCUUUCAGCGGGGAAGAUAAUGACGGUACCCGCAGAAGAAGCCCCGGCUAACUCCGUGCCAGCAGCCGCCGUAAAAC
rnacentral:rRNA from 1 species